UACGUAGGUCCCGAGCGUUGUCCGGAAUUACUGGGUGUAAAGGGUGCGCAGGCGCCUUGUGCGUCAGAAGUGAAAUAUCACGGCUUAACCGUGAGGGUGCUUUUGAAACGGCGAGACUUGAGUACGGGAGAGGAUGAUGGAAUUCCGUGGUGUAGCAGUGAAAUGCGUAGAUAUCAGGAGGAACACCGGUGGCGAAGGCGGUCAUCUGGCCCGGUACUGACGCUCAGGCACGAAAGUGUGGGUAGCAAACAGG
rnacentral:rRNA from 1 species